ACUAUGAAACUCGAAAUCAACCACAAGAAAAAAUUUGGAAACACCAUGAAUACUUCAAGAUUAAAGAACACCAUAGUGAAGAAUGAAUGGUUUAAUCAAGAAAUUAAACAGGAAAUUAAAAAGUCCAAGAAA